AUGAAAAACCACAGCAGGCCUGCAAGAAAGGGAAGUAGUCGGGGGAGCCUCCCAUUUCCUCCUGAGCCAGUGUAGUUCACUUAUGCACUGACAUGCCAAGUCCCUCUCUGGGGCCGCCUACCUGGAACAGUCACAGAACUUGCUGGGAAAGCCUGAGGCAGACAGGAAGCAAGGGCUGGUAGGAGGCUCCCACUACUGCCCAGAAGGAAGAACUAAAGUAACUUGUUCUUCUGGAUUCUUGCCCUCCUCACCCUGCACUGCCGCACCAGAGACAGCCUGACAGCAAGCACACGAGGACUAUUCAUCCAUCACGGGACAGAGCCGCCUCCUGCCUCUGAACCUUAUAGGAAAGGACUUCUGCUAUGCCUCACAGGCCUGAACUCCCCUCAGAACUCCCAACAGGCUGUCUGGCUAUGUGUUAAUACCUUUCCUAAUAAACCUAUUGCUCAGUG